rnacentral:rRNA from 1 species
CCCUUAGAUGUUCUGGGCCGCACGCGCGCUACACUGAUGCAUUCAACGAGUGUACCUUGGCCGAGAGGCCUGGGCAAUCUUUUGAACGUGCAUCGUGAUAGGGAUAGAUUAUUGCAAUUAUUAAUCUUGAACGAGGAAUUCCUAGUAAACGCAGAUCAUCAAUCUGCAUUGAUUACGUCCCUGCCCUUUGUACACACCGCCCGUCGCUCCUACCGAUUGAGUGGUCCGGUGAGGCUUUGGGAUCUGAGCGGAAAGAGCGUUUCGCUGUUUCUGCUCGGAAAACUCAGUCGAACCUUAUCAUUUAGAGGAAGGAGAAGUCGUAACA